GCGCUUGAAGUUUCCUGACCAGCGACUCUUUCUCUUUCCCCCAACCCCCCACCCCACCCCCCCGCCUUUCCCCCUCUUUCUAUGUAUCAGUGUUUGGGGGGCUUUAAUCAGUUUUUAAACGAUUAUUACCACCUCUCUCUCCCCCCCAACCCCCACUUUCACAACGCGGCCCCCCACCUUUACCUCCCUAAGUUCUUCAUCUCUUUCGACAUUUUUUUUGAAGGCUGAUGGGGGGGAGGGUGGAAGAGAAAGAGUGAAGAAAAGUUGCGAGCGUCUCCUCUCUUCCUAAGCCUCCCGCCCCAACCCACCCCUCAGAGAAGGAGAAGAUAAUAUACUGAAAAGAAGAGGAGGAGGAGAGCGACGGGACGGGACGCGAGCGGGAGCGCAGCCGCCCUCUCGGCUCCGCGGCGGCGCCUCGCAAGUCCGGGAGGCGAGGGGGGCCCGAGGGGAGACGCCGUGACAACUUUCGUUUCCCUCUGAGGGAAUUGGGAGGUCGGCGGCCCCAAAAUUCGCCUUUGGUGUAAGCAGCGAGGCCACCUGGGUGGUGACGGUGCUGCUUUCUUCAACCAACCAACCGAAAAAGCCCUCAAUUUUCGGACAGGGGCUCGGGUCUUGGCGUUGGGGGGCCCGACGCCUAGUGACUUCUUUAUUUACACUAGCUGCAAAACGUGAGAAAUAAAAAAGCCCAGGGUCUGUGU
rnacentral:lncRNA from 10 species